rnacentral:lncRNA from 1 species
GGGUUGCAGACUGGCAUUCCAGACAGCCUCUGUUUUUUACUGAAUAUAAUUUACUCGUUUUAAAUUUCCAGUCAUUCAUUUUUCCGCAGAGGAAGAAAGAGGAGAAAAUACAAUCAGGUCACUGAACGUUUCAGCUGCUGCAAAAUUCUGGACGUUGUUCUUGACUGGAGUGAAGGGAAGCUCACCAUCCAGCAUGGGUGUAUCUAAAGGAUUUUUGU